CAGCCGCCGCGGGAAUACGUAGGGUGCAAGCGUUAAUCGGAAUUACUGGGCGUAAAGCGUGCGCAGGCGGCUAUGCGAGACAGAUGUGAAAUCCCCGGGCUCAACCUGGGAACUGCAUUUGUGACUGCAUGGCUAGAGUACGGUAGAGGGGGAUGGAAUUCCGCGUGUAGCAGUGAAAUGCGUAGAUAUGCGGAGGAACACCGAUGGCGAAGGCAAUCCCCUGGACCUGUACUGACGCUCAUGCACGAAAGCGUGGGGAGCAAACAGGAUUAGAUACCCGCGUAGUCCCUGUCUCUUAUAC
rnacentral:rRNA from 1 species